AUCUCAUGUACAAGCAUUGCCUUCACACAGGUUAACCCUGAAGAUAAGGGAGCCCUGGCUAAUCUGGUAGAAGCCAUCAAAACCAAUUACA